rnacentral:sRNA from 1 species
CACAUAUUUCUCUAUUUUUUCUGUUUUCUUUGUUUCCUUCCUCAAGCAAACAAACAUAUACAAAUGCCAAUACAAUGAACCAUAUAGUGAAAGUGAUGCAAGAGUUGAAGCCUCCCUUCCUGAUGAUGCUGGUGCAGGUUGCAUACACGGGAAAUACUGUGAUUGCUAGCCUUGCCAUAACUGAUGGAAUGAGCAUUAGAGUAUUCAGUGCCUACCGACACAUUUUUGGAGCUGUUAUCACUUUUAUUCUUGCUUUUAUUUUCGAAAGAAAAAACAGACCAAAGUUGACAUGGAGAGUGCUCGUGAUGACAUUUUUUUGUGGAUUAUUUGGGGGGAGUUUAUUCCAAAAUCCUUUUUUCAACGCCAUAGCGUUGGUAUCAGCAACAUAUGCUAACGCUGU